AAAAUCUGUCCCGUGACCUCACCACCAAUUAUUUCUUUUCCCACACUUUUUCAGCCAAUCAGACAUCUCUCAUCUCUGCCCAAUCAGAAACAUUCUUCUCUCUCUUUCUCUUCUCUUCUUCUUCUCUCCUUACCUGUAACUCUCUAUUCUCUGCAACAACAAAGAUCACUUUCAAAACUUCACAGAUCGAGACUCAAACCACCACCCUUGUGCUCCUUUCAUUCUCACGAACCCAUUUGUACCAACCGAUCAUGAAAUGGACGAGUGUUGAGUGUCCAACUUGAAGCAACUCGGAGCUCUAACUCGAGUGGAGUUUUCCCUAACGUUUUUCUGUUCGAGUUACAAGAUUUUAGGAGUUUUGGAAGCAUCUAGGCAACUCCUCAAGGCCAUUAGCCUAGUUUUGAAGUGGAGCCAAAAAGGAAAACACACGGUUUUGAGACUAUGAGUUUGGGUCCAGGGCUAUCGAGUCUAUUUUGAUCCAUUUCCAUCCAUCUUUUGAACUUUUAAGAGAAUACGGCGAACCAGAUGGCGGAGGACAAUCGAAAAAGAAGGAGAACAUUCCGUCAAAUUUGACGAAAUAUUCUAACGCCGUUAACUGAUGCCGUUACCGUUAGCCGAAUAUUCCGUCAAGUCUGACGUAAUAAUUCCUAGGUAUGUCAGCAUGUGGCCAAUGCGUGGGCACGCGUGUGGCCAUGGGCUAGGAGGCACGUGAAGGUGCGUCCGGCCUCUAGCCGACUUGUGGUCGACGUGUACGGGUCUAUGACUUCUUGUAGAACGUUUUCGUAUAUUUAAACCCUUAGUUUGAGCAAACUAUGGGGGAUUUUCCUAGCCUUUUUGUGUAGGUCCUAAUUAAUUAAUUAGUAAAGUUAUUUCACAUAUAGGUGAGACUUACCCCGAGGAGGUACGAGGACAAAUAAGGCUAGGAGGCUACGACCUAUCGACGUAUCAGUCCUAGUUAGCUGAUUACUCUGUGGCGUAUGAGGAAUAUUCGGCAGUUCUGACAUACCCUUAAAUAAAUGUAGGAGUUUUUCCGAUUGUGUAUUAAGCACUUUAACUAGUUUCGACUGCACACUUUUAUGUCAUCUAUGCUCUGAACACUUAUGUUUUAUGGGUUCUUUCCACUACUGCGCACUCUCUACUUUAGAUUAAAUAAAUGUUAGCUUUGGUUUUAAUUUACCCAUAUUUUUAUGCUUCACUUUCCUUUUUAGUUAUGUCACCUUCAGGUGACGGCCAGCAUGCCUCGACUCCAAUCAAGGUGUGUCAAAUAAUGCUAAAUAUAGGAACAACCUCCCUAUAGCCAUAAAAGUUUUUUGUUCCAAUUUGGACAUAUUAUGUAUAAGAAUAAACUCCAGAUUAUAAUAAGUUAUUAUUAUUUUAGAUGAUGUAUUAAGAAAAUUUGUCUCCAUAUAGUAAUAAUUGUCCAUAGAGUUUAUACCACACCUUUGAGCUGGCCGAUACGUAAUACCUCGUCAACAUGGAUUUCUUCUUGAUGAAGCCAUAUUGUUUCUAGCUUCGCAAAUGUGUUUACAUGCCCUAGAUUUUAAAAAUUGGGGGGUUUUUUUUUUCAUGUUACAUCUUGGAAUUUGCCGUGUUCCACUAGUAGUUUUUUGUAUACAUAUAUUUUUCAUUAAAGAUACCUAAAGUAAAAAAAAUAAAAUAAAAUAAAAAUUAGCUACACCUCUAUUAAG